AGCAACCGACCGAGCAUGACCGUGAAUGAUGCCCGAUCCAUUGAAUAGACAGACACGAGGGCACCCAUGGUUUGCCACUAGGCAUCACAAUGAUGAUGAUGAUGAUCGUGAUCAUAAGCGGCAUGGGCCCCAACCGUGCCUGGCCCAAUGCUGACCACAUGACACGAUGAUGGGGGUGCCUCCAUCAAUUUGCCAUGGAGCUCCACGCU
rnacentral:lncRNA from 1 species